rnacentral:lncRNA from 1 species
CUUCUUAUUGUUGUGGUGUGUUGAAAUGAGGAGCCCAAGCUCCCUUUUAUAGGAGAAAUCUGAAAAGGAGAACAAGAAAUGGGGAAGGCUAAAUUUCAAAGUCUGAGAGGAAGAAAAUUUGGGGAAGGCUAAAUUCAAUGGGUGAGGACUUUGAUCAACAAAUUAAUGUAAGGCAACCUUUUUGUCAACAUCUCUCCUCAGUGAUAAUUGGAUCAUCUUAUUCAUCGUUAUCAUCUUGGUAUACCGACUUUAUGGCAUCAGUUGCUUCACACCAACAGUCCUCUUCUUCCGUAUAGCCACAAAUAAGCACUUUUCGAUCAUGUUUUGGAUCGAAUUUUGCACUAGAUUUCAAACGCACAGAGAGAAGAGCCUCGAAUCCUUUCAUCCUCUGCUCCAGCUUCUCUUCAAAGCCUUGUUUGAGGUUUAUAACCAAUUCCUGUAGCUGAGUUUAUAAUUGUCAAAUAGUGUUUGUUUGUUCCUUAACCUGAGUUUCCAAGUUUCCACGUUGCUGAUUAUUAGUCAC